rnacentral:rRNA from 1 species
GACGAACGCUGGCGGCGUGCUUAACACAUGCAAGUCGAACGGUGAAGCGCCUUCCUUUUUGGUGGGUGUGGAUGAGUGGCGAACGGGUGAGUAACACGUUAGUAACCUGCCCCCUUCUUCUGGAUAACCGCAUGAAAGUGUGGCUAAUACGGGAUAUUCUGGGUCUGUCGCAUGAUGGGUCUGGGAAAGAUAUUGUUUCGGUGGGGGAUGUGCUCGCGGCCUAUCAGCUUGUUGGUGGGGUGAUGGCCUACCAAGGCGGUGACGGGUAGCCGGCCUGAGAGGGUGGACGGUCACACUGGGACUGAGACACGGCCCAGACUCCUACGGGAGGCAGCAGUGGGGAAUAUUGCACAAUGGGCGCAAGCCUGAUGCAGCGACGCCGCGUGAGGGAUGGAGGCCUUCGGGUUGUGAACCUCUUUCGCCAGUGAAGCAGGCCUGCCUCGUUUGUGGGUGGGUUGACGGUAGCUGGAUAAGAAGCGCCGGCUAACUACGUG